rnacentral:ribozyme from 13 species
ACUCAAGAAAAAAGAACAACUUAAGAAAAAACAAGAAAAAAAGAAAAAAGACGACUCUCUCUCUCCCACCCUUUCCCCUCCGCUUCCCUCCUCCUCCUCUUCCUCCCCUUCUUCUCCCACUCUUUCUUAUUCUCCUGUCAUCACACAAACCCUUACACAAACCCAAAUCCUUAAUUCUCAAGAUGAAGAUGAUGAAGAGGAAGAAGAUGAGGAAGACUCUUCCAUUGCAAUCUCUCAGGGUUUACAAGACCUUUGUGACGCACCAGGGUCAGCAAAAAAGAAAAAUCAAAAAGCCAAA